rnacentral:rRNA from 1 species
GGGCCCGCACAAGCGGCGGAGCAUGCGGAUUAAUUCGAUGCAACGCGAAGAACCUUACCAAGGCUUGACAUGUGGGUGACAGCCGCAGAGAUGUGGUCUCCUCUUUUGGGGCGCCCUCACAGGUGGUGCAUGGUUGUCGUCAGCUCGUGUCGUGAGAUGUUGGGUUAAGUCCCGCAACGAGCGCAACCCUCGUCCCGUGUUGCCAGCACGUUGUGGUGGGGACUCGCGGGAGACUGCCGGGGUCAACUCGGAGGAAGGUGGGGAUGACGUCAAAUCAUCAUGCCCCUUAUGUCUUGGGCUUCACGCAUGCUACAAUGGCCGGUACAGAGGGCUGCGAUGCCGUGAGGCGGAGCGAAUCCCUUAAAGCCGGUCUCAGUUCGGAUCGGUGUCUGCAACUCGACACCGUGAAGUUGGAGUCGCUAGUAAUCGCAGAUCAGCAACGCUGCGGUGAAUACGUUCUCGGGCCUU